AAGUAUGAAGCGAUUAAUUGCAUUUAGUUUCGACCUAAUCUUAGAUAAACUUAUCCUUACUUU
rnacentral:tRNA from 1 species